rnacentral:rRNA from 1 species
ACGCACGCUGGCGGCGUGCUUAACCCAUGCAAGUCGAACGGAAAGGCCCUGCUUUUGUGGGGUGCUCGAGUGGCGAACGGGUGAGUAACACGUGAGUAACCUGCCCUUGACUUUGGGAUAACUUCAGGAAACUGGGGCUAAUACCGGAUAGGAGCUCCUGCUGCAUGGUGGGGGUUGGAAAGUUUCGGCGGUUGGGGAUGGACUCGCGGCUUAUCAGCUUGUUGGUGGGGUAGUGGCUUACCAAGGCUUUGACGGGUAGCCGGCCUGAGAGGGUGACCGGCCACAUUGGGACUGAGAUACGGCCCAGACUCCUACGGGAGGCAGCAGUGGGGAAUAUUGCAAAAUGGGCGGAAGCCUGAUGCAGCAACGCCGCGUGCGGGAUGACGGCCUUCGGGUUGUAAACCGCUUUCGCCUGUGACGAAGCGUGAGUGACGGUAAUGGGUAAAGAAGCACCGGCUAACUACGUG